rnacentral:pre_miRNA from 1 species
UCACUUAGGGCCUGAUCCAAAGCCCAUUGAAGUCAAUGGGAGUCUUUCCAUUGACUUCAGUAGACUUUUAAUCAGGCUUUAGG